rnacentral:rRNA from 1 species
GGGUUGUGAGGUUAAGCGACUAAGCGUACACGGUGGAUGCCCUGGCAGUCAGAGGCGAUGAAGGACGUGCUAAUCUGCGAUAAGCGUCGGUAAGGUGAUAUGAACCGUUAUAACCGGCGAUUUCCGAAUGGGGAAACCCAGUGUGAUUCGUCACACUAUCAUUAACUGAAUCCAUAGGUUAAUGAGGCGAACCGGGGGAACUGAAACAUCUAAGUACCCCGAGGAAAAGAAAUCAACCGAGAUUCCCCCAGUAGCGGCGAGCGAACGGGGAGCAGCCCAGAGCCUGAAUCAGUGUGUGUGUUAGUGGAAGCGUCUGGAAAGGCGUGCGAUACAGGGUGACAGUCCCGUACACAAAAAUGCACAUGCUGUGAGCUCGAUGAGUAGGGCGGGACACGUGGUAUCCUGUCUGAAUAUGGGGGGACCAUCCUCCAAGGCUAAAUACUCCUGACUGACCGAUAGUGAACCAGUACCGUGAGGGAAAGGCGAAAAGAACCCCGGCGAGGGGAGUGAAAAAGAACCUGAAACCGUGUACGUACAAGCAGUGGGAGCCUCUUUAUGGGGUGACUGCGUACCUUUUGUAUAAUGGGUCAGCGACUUAUAUUCUGUAGCAAGGUUAACCGAAUAGGGGAGCCGAAGGGAAACCGAGUCUUAACUGGGCGUUAAGUUGCAGGGUAUAGACCCGAAACCGGUGAU